AACCUCUUCCAUUUCUUCAAGCAAAUGUACUUGGUGGAGGACUUUCUGCUAUUCAAAAGAACAUUCUGAACUGCAGCAGAACAUGUAGCUUCCUGAGUAUUUGACAACUGAGCAUACAGGACUAGUGAUUUUGUUUACUCUGAACCGAACUGAGAUUGGGCCGUUACAUCUGGGAAGAGCUGCUACCAAGUGUUCUUGAAGGGGCAAAGCUCUCCUCUGACUAUGUACAGGCACAGCUUUGUGCUUUGAAGCACUACCGAGAGGACAAGGAACCAACACAGAUGUACAACAGGAAGGGAACCUGGAGGUAUUUAUAAAAAGGACUGUGCUACACAAAUGAACAGGAAGGUGCCUUGCCCAGCCACCAAAACAUAUCACUCUGACUAUGCAUCUAAGCUAUUUCUGCAGAAGCCACUUUAAGAGGGGAGGAAAUGCUGGAGUAACAUUUUUGGGGGAAAUAGAGAAACAAUUUGAAAGGACAUGGAGUGAAUACGAACUGUGUUGUCCCAAGUAAAAGGAUAGUUUGCAUCACCACUGUCCCCAUU